rnacentral:rRNA from 1 species
GAGUUUGAUCGUGACUCAGGACGAACGCUGGCGGCGUGCCUAAUACAUGCAAGUCGAGCGGACGAAUUUUCGGUGCUUGCACCGAAUUUUCGUUAGCGGCGGACGGGUGAGUAACACGUGGGUAACCUACCUUGUAGAUCGGGAUAACUCCGGGAAACCGGGGCUAAUACCCGAAUAAUACUUUUUAACACAUGUUUGAAAGUUGGAAGACGGUUUUGCUGUCACUAUAAGAUGGACCCGCGGCGCGUUAGCUAGUUGGUGAGGUAACGGCUCACCAAGGCAACGAUGCGUAGCCGACCUGAGAGGGUGAUCGGCCACACUGGGACUGAGACACGGCCCAGACUCCUACGGGAGCAGCAGUAGGGAAUCUUCCACAAUGGACGAAAGUCUGAUGGAGCAACGCCGCGUGAGUGGAGAAGGAUUUCGGUUCGUAAAACUCUGUUGCAAGGGAAGAACAAGUAGCGUAGUAACUGGCGCUACCUUGACGGUACCUUGUUAGAAAGCCACGGCUAACUACGUGCCAGC